AUUGAACGCUGGCGGCAGGCCUAACACAUGCAAGUCGAGCGGAUGAAGGGAGCUUGCUCCUGGAUUCAGCGGCGGACGGGUGAGUAAUGCCUAGGAAUCUGCCUGGUAGUGGGGGAUAACGUCCGGAAACGGACGCUAAUACCGCAUACGUCCUGAGGGAGAAAGUGGGGGAUCUUCGGACCUCACGCUAUCAGAUGAGCCUAGGUCGGAUUAGCUAGUUGGUGGGGUAAGGGCCUACCAAGGCGACGAUCCGUAACUGGUCUGAGAGGAUGAUCAGUCACACUGGAACUGAGACACGGUCCAGACUCCUACGGGAGGCAGCAGUGGGGAAUAUUGGACAAUGGGCGAAAGCCUGAUCCAGCCAUGCCGCGUGUGUGAAGAAGGUCUUCGGAUUGUAAAGCACUUUAAGUUGGGAGGAAGGGCAGUAAGUUAAUACCUUGCUGUUUUGACGUUACCAACAGAAUAAGCACCGGCUAACUUCGUG
rnacentral:rRNA from 1 species